rnacentral:rRNA from 1 species
GGGUUUAUCAAAAACAUUUCCUGCUGUCUAAACAUAGCAGGUACACCCUGCCCAGUGAACCUAUUAAACGGCCGCGGUACCCUGACCGUGCAAAGGUAGCAUAAUCAUUUGCCCAUUAAUUGUGGGCUAGUAUGAACGGGCACACGAAAUCACCUCUGUCUCUCGCAAACCACUAAAAACUAAUCUUCAAGUGAAGAAGCUUGAAUACAGAUACAGGACAAGAAGACCCUAUAGAGCUUUAUUUUAACUCUUCAGUACCAGAAGAAAACAAUUCGGUUGGGGCGACCAGGGAAAUAAACAUCCCUACUAUUUCGACAAAUAAGUCUCACUUUAUGACCCUACAAAGAUCACAAGAUCAAGCUACCUUAGGGAUAACAGGCUAAUCAUUCUCAAGAGUUCAUAUCGACAGAAUGGAUUGGCACCUCGAUGUUGGCUUAGGGGAUCCUCAUGAUGCAGCAGUCAUGACAAGAUGGUUUGUUCAACCACACACCCCCUACGUGAUCUGAGUU